UAAAUCUGAUCCUAGUGCCAGCCAGCCUGAAGUAAGCCUAACCAACCAACUUUUUCACAGCUUUGAACAGCUUGCAGCAUUAAAACAAAAAAACACUUAC